rnacentral:rRNA from 1 species
GACGAACGCUGGCGGCGUGCUUAACACAUGCAAGUCGAGCGGUAAGGCCCUUUCGGGGGUACACGAGCGGCGAACGGGUGAGUAACACGUGGGUGACCUGCCCUCAGCUCUGGGAUAAGCCCGGGAAACUGGGUCUAAUACCGGAUAUGACCUCAUGACGCAUGUUGUGGAGUGGAAAGCCUUGUGCGGCUGAGGAUGGGCCCGCGGCCUAUCAGCUUGUUGGUGGGGUGAUGGCCUACCAAGGCGACGACGGGUAGCCGGCCUGAGAGGGCGACCGGCCACACUGGGACUGAGAUACGGCCCAGACUCCUACGGGAGGCAGCAGUGGGGAAUCUUGCGCAAUGGGCGAAAGCCUGACGCAGCGACGCCGCGUGAGGGAUGACGGCCU